AAGGUUCGUCCUGGGUGACGGCGUACCUUUUGUAUAAUGGGUCAGCGACUUAAUUUGACGAGCAAGCUUAAGCCGAUAGGCGUAGGCGCAGCGAAAGCGAGUCUGAACAGGGCGUUCAGUUCGUCGGAUUAGACCCGAAACCGAGUGAUCUAGCCAUGAGCAGGUUGAAGGUGCGGUAACACGCACUGGAGGACCGAACCGGUGCCUGUUGAAAAAGUCUCGGAUGACUUGUGGUUAGGGGUGAAAGGCCAACCAAACUCGGAAAUAGCUGGUUCUCCGCGAAAUAUAUUUAGGUAUAGCCUCGCGUUUAUUCUCCAGGGGGUAGAGCACUGGAUGGGCUAGGGGGUCCCACAGACUUACCAAACCUAACCAAACUCCGAAUACCUGGAAGAACUGCGCGGGAGCCACACGGCGGGUGCUAACGUCCGUCGUGGAGAGGGAAACAACCCAGACCAACAGCUAAGGCCCCUAAUUCGUGGCUAAGUGGGAAAGGAUGUGAAAAUCCCAAAACAACCAGGAGGCUGGCUUAGAAGCAGCCAUCCUUUAAAGAAAGCGUAACAGCUC
rnacentral:rRNA from 1 species